CACCUUUGACAUGUACGGAACUUACCAGAGAUGGUUUGGUGCUCGAAAGAGAGCCGUAACA
rnacentral:rRNA from 1 species